AGGACGAACGCUGGCGGCGUGCUUAACACAUGCAAGUCGAGCGGUAAGGCCUUUCGGGGUACACGAGCGGCGAACGGGUGAGUAACACGUGGGUGAUCUGCCCUGCACUCUGGGAUAAGCCUGGGAAACUGGGUCUAAUACCGGAUAUGACCUGCUCUCGCAGUGGGGGGUGGGUGGAAAGAUUUAUCGGGUGCAGGAUCGGGCCCGCGGCCUAUCAGUCUUUGGUUGGGUGGGGUAAUCGGCCUACCAAGGCGACGACGGGUAGCCGACCUGAGAGGGUGACCGGCCACACUGGGACUGAGACACGGCCAGACUCCUACGGGAGCAGCAGUGGGAAUAUUGCACAAUGGGACGAAAGCCUGAUGCAGCGACGCCGCGUGAGGAUGGAA
rnacentral:rRNA from 1 species